rnacentral:sRNA from 1 species
AACCCAUUCUUCUUAGUAAAAUCACACAUUGCUUUAAUGCAUUUAUAAAGGGGCUAAACACGUUGUUUGUCAGUCAUUCAAUAAUCACAUGAUUAAAAACUUGGAAUAUCAUAAUACAAGAAGGUUUGUUUUGUGAUUUCACUUUGUAUAGCAUAAAUGGAUCCAUAUCAGAAACUCUAAACAAAAAGCCAUUAGAAGCCUUUAAAGUUAUAUUAGUGAUACAAAUUCUUAUUUUGAAAGGAAAAUACACCUUUUACAUUUUCCUCUAUUUAUCUGCACUGUGCAGUUCGCAUCAUGCGCAUGUGUCGCCGACAAAAAGGCGUCAGCAACACACAAACAGGUAACAGCUGAAAGCCAUACAAACCAUUCCCGUGAGGCAUUUGACAACGCUCAAUCUCAUGUACGUAUUUUCCAAAAAAGGUUGUGGAAGGUAGCAAACAAAAACUAAAAGAUGCAAAAAUAUGAAAUAACAUUACCAAGGUAAAUUUGAAUAUAAUUACAGGAAGAAAUUUCAUAUGCUGCAGUGGUAUAGGAGAAAUUAUUGUAGUUAUAAACUUUUCCAAAUCGAAUAGGCCGAACAUACAGCGUUAAACGUCCUGAAAUGUGGACGGGCGUACACUUUUGAUGUCCAUAACAUAUUGUGGAUAUGGCUUAACGGAACUUCUGGAAAAUAUGGUUCUUACUUCGUUGCGACUUAUUUGGGAAUUUUUCCAAAUGUCUGAACGUUUUUAUUUUAAUAGUUAAUAUAUACGAAAUUUAAAUUCACUACGUGUAGAUUUGAAAUACAUAAA